GAGGGUAGAGCUCAGUGAUAGAGCGUGUGCCUAGCAAGCACAAGGUCCAGAGUUCAAUCCCCAGUACCUCUA
rnacentral:tRNA from 1 species